rnacentral:misc_RNA from 1 species
GACGAACCGUGCUAACGUUGUUCGGAAUCACUGGGCUUAAAGGGCGCGUAGGCGGGUUUGUAAGUCGGAGGUGAAAGCCCACAGCUCAACUGUGGAAGUGCCCCCGAUACUGCAGAUCUCGAGGGAGGUAGGGGCAUGCGGAACUUCCGGUGGAGCGGUGAAAUGCGUAGAUAUCGGAAGGAACACCGGUGGCGAAGGCGGCGUGCUGGACCUCUUCUGUCGCUGAGGCGCGAAAGCCAGGGGAGCGAACGGG